rnacentral:rRNA from 2 species
UUAAGCGACUAAGCGUACACGGUGGAUGCCCUGGCAGUCAGAGGCGAUGAAGGACGUGCUAAUCUGCGAAAAGCGUCGGUAAGGUGAUAUGAACCGUUAUAACCGGCGAUGUCCGAAUGGGGAAACCCAGUGUGAUUCGUCACACUAUCGUUAACUGAAUACAUAGGUUAACGAGGCGAACCGGGGGAACUGAAACAUCUAAGUACCCCGAGGAAAAGAAAUCAACCGAGAUUCCCCCAGUAGCGGCGAGCGAACGGGGAGCAGCCCAGAGUCUGAAUCAGCUUGUGUGUUAGUGGAACGGUCUGGAAAGUCCGACGGUACAGGGUGAUAGUCCCGUACACCAAAAUGCACAGGUUGUGAACUCGAAGAGUAGGGCGGGACACGUGGUAUCCUGUCUGAAUAUGGGGGGACCAUCCUCCAAGGCUAAAUACUCCUGACUGACCGAUAGUGAACCAGUACCGUGAGGGAAAGGCGAAAAGAACCCCGGCGAGGGGAGUGAAAAAGAACCUGAAACCGUGUACGUACAAGCAGUGGGAGCACCUUCGGGUGUGACUGCGUACCUUUUGUAUAAUGGGUCAGCGACUUAUAUUCUGUAGCAAGGUUAACCGUAUAGGGGAGCCGCAGGGAAACCGAGUCUUAACUGGGCGUUAAGUUGCAGGGUAUAGACCCGAAACCCGGUGAUCUAGCCAUGGGCAGGUUGAAGGUUGGGUAACACUAACUGGAGGACCGAACCGACUAAUGUUGAAAAAUUAGCGGAUGACUUGUGGCUGGGGGUGAAAGGCCAAUCAAACCGGGAGAUAGCUGGUUCUCCCCGAAAGCUAUUUAGGUAGCGCCUCGUGAAUUCAUCUUCGGGGGUAGAGCACUGUUUCGGCUAGGGGGUCAUCCCGACUUACCAACCCGAUGCAAACUACGAAUACCGAAGAAUGUUAUCACGGGAGACACACGGCGGGUGCUAACGUCCGUCGUGAAGAGGGAAACAACCCAGACCGCCAGCUAAGGUCCCAAAGUCAUGGUUAAGUGGGAAACGAUGUGGGAAGGCACAGACAGCCAGGAUGUUGGCUUAGAAGCAGCCAUCAUUUAAAGAAAGCGUAAUAGCUCACUGGUCGAGUCGGCCUGCGCGGAAGAUGUAACGGGGCUAAACCAUGCACCGAAGCUGCGGCAGCGACACUAUGUGUUGUUGGGUAGGGGAGCGUUCUGUAAGCCUGCGAAGGUGACCUGUGAGGGUUGCUGGAGGUAUCAGAAGUGCGAAUGCUGACAUAAGUAACGAUAAAGCGGGUGAAAAGCCCGCUCGCCGGAAGACCAAGGGUUCCUGUCCAACGUUAAUCGGGGCAGGGUGAGUCGACCCCUAAGGCGAGGCCGAAAGGCGUAGUCGAUGGGAAACAGGUUAAUAUUCCUGUACUUGGUGUUACUGCGAAGGGGGGACGGAGAAGGCUAUGUUAGCCGGGCGACGGUUGUCCCGGUUUAAGCAUGUAGGCUGGUUAUCCAGGCAAAUCCGGAUAAUCAAGGCUGAGGUGUGAUGACGAGGUACUACGGUGCUGAAGUAACAAAUGCCCUGCUUCCAGGAAAAGCCUCUAAGCAUCAGGUAACAUCAAAUCGUACCCCAAACCGACACAGGUGGUCAGGUAGAGAAUACCAAGGCGCUUGAGAGAACUCGGGUGAAGGAACUAGGCAAAAUGGUGCCGUAACUUCGGGAGAAGGCACGCUGGUGUGUAGGUGAAGUCCCUGCGGAUGGAGCUGAGACCAGUCGAAGAUACCAGCUGGCUGCAACUGUUUAUUAAAAACACAGCACUGUGCAAACACGAAAGUGGACGUAUACGGUGUGACGCCUGCCCGGUGCCGGAAGGUUAAUUGAUGGGGUUAUCCGUAAGGAGAAGCUCUUGAUCGAAGCCCCGGUAAACGGCGGCCGUAACUAUAACGGUCCUAAGGUAGCGAAAUUCCUUGUCGGGUAAGUUCCGACCUGCACGAAUGGCGUAAUGAUGGCCAGGCUGUCUCCACCCGAGACUCAGUGAAAUUGAACUCGCUGUGAAGAUGCAGUGUACCCGCGGCAAGACGGAAAGACCCCGUGAACCUUUACUAUAGCUUGACACUGAACAUUGAGCCUUGAUGUGUAGGAUAGGUGGGAGGCUUUGAAGCGUGGACGCCAGUCUGCGUGGAGCCAACCUUGAAAUACCACCCUUUAAUGUUUGAUGUUCUAACGUUGGCCCCUUAUCGGGGUUGCGGACAGUGUCUGGUGGGUAGUUUGACUGGGGCGGUCUCCUCCCAAAGCGUAACGGAGGAGCACGAAGGUUAGCUAAUCCUGGUCGGACAUCAGGAGGUUAGUGCAAUGGCAUAAGCUAGCUUGACUGCGAGCGUGACGGCGCGAGCAGGUGCGAAAGCAGGUCAUAGUGAUCCGGUGGUUCUGAAUGGAAGGGCCAUCGCUCAACGGAUAAAAGGUACUCCGGGGAUAACAGGCUGAUACCGCCCAAGAGUUCAUAUCGACGGCGGUGUUUGGCACCUCGAUGUCGGCUCAUCACAUCCUGGGGCUGAAGUAGGUCCCAAGGGUAUGGCUGUUCGCCAUUUAAAGUGGUACGCGAGCUGGGUUUAGAACGUCGUGAGACAGUUCGGUCCCUAUCUGCCGUGGGCGCUGGAGAAUUGAGGGGGGCUGCUCCUAGUACGAGAGGACCGGAGUGGACGCAUCACUGGUGUUCGGGUUGUCAUGCCAAUGGCACUGCCCGGUAGCUAAAUGCGGAAGAGAUAAGUGCUGAAAGCAUCUAAGCACGAAACUUGCCCCGAGAUGAGUUCUCCCUGAGACUUUAAGUCUCCUGAAGGAACGUUAAAGACGAUGACGUUGAUAGGCCGGGUGUGUAAGCGCAGCGAUGCGUUGAGCUAACCGGUACUAAUGAACCGUGAGGCUUAACCUU